rnacentral:rRNA from 1 species
ACCACUUAGCAAUAAAUAAAUGCAUAUAUAUACCAAAUUUUAUAUACUUUUGUAUAUAAAAGAUGGAACAAAUAUAUAUAU